GACGAACGCUGGCGGCGUGCUUAACACAUGCAAGUCGAACGGAAAGGCCCUGCUUUUGUGGGGUGCUCGAGUGGCGAACGGGUGAGUAGCACGUGAGUAACCUGCCCUUGACUUUGGGAUAACUUCAGGAAACUGGGGCUAAUACCGGAUAGGAGCUCCUGCUGCAUGGUGGGGGUUGGAAAGUUUCGGCGGUGGUGGAUGGACUCGCGGCUUAUCAGCUUGUUGGUGGGGUAGUGGCUUACCCAGGCUUUGACGGGUAGCCGGCCUGGGAGGGUGACCGGCCACCUUGCGACUGAGAUACGGCCCAGACUCCUACGGGAGGCAGCAGUGGGGAAUAUUGCACAAUGGGCGGAAGCCUGAUGCAGCAACGCCGCGUGCGGGAUGACGGCCUUCGGGUUGUAAACCGCUUUCGCCUGUGACGAAGCGUGAGUGACGGUAAUGGGUAAAGAAGCACCGGCUAACUACGUG
rnacentral:rRNA from 1 species